UUUCCUCUCUUUCUUUCUUCUUCCCUGACCUUCUUCUCUUCCUCACUGCCCCCCCUCUUUCAAUCCCUGUUCAAGGCAAGGUGGAGGUGGCUCCUGUAGAAGAGGAGAUCUGGUGGACAAGUCCCAGUCCAUGGAGAAAACGCUUGCGCAUGUGUAUGUGAUAUUUGUACAAUCCACAUAUGAAGAUAAGGAAAAAGAGAAGUUUAGGUAUUGUUCAAAAAAUUCUCUCACGUCAUUUUUGUGUCAAGAGAAAAUAGAGUCCAAGUAUCUCAUGUUCUAGAUUGAAUGCACAUACAUACUUGACUCAAAAUGCGAAGAACUCUUCCAUACAGACUCCGAAUUGGAUGAUUUUUUUAAAAAUAGAUUUUGUACUCUUUCCAACCCAAUUGGAUUCACCUUCAAAAUCGUCCGGAGCGUUGAGAUAUUGACGAAACAAUCUGAUGCUGCAGCAGAAUCUGAGUCAAACUAUAAGUCCAAAGGUGUUGCAUCACCUACACUUGGGCCCAUGAGCCUUGUACGACCUAGGAUUUGUUUUAGCCUGCCUUGGGAUGUCCUCCCAUCUCCUUAGCCGCCACCCCUUGCUCCUAUAUAAGUAGAUCUAUCUAGUAGCUUUUUUAUUGGGAUUUAUUUAGUUAAAAGUUAGCCAUUGCAACUUUGUGUACUUCGUUUCUGUCCAAUGACCAUACUAAGACCGCUUUUGGAUCCCCACCUUUAUUAAUACUUCAUCUAUAUUCGCAAUAUUCAGAUUGCAUUAUCAUAUUCUUGUUUGUUCUUCGAUUGCGUGAGGAAUAGACCUUCGUGGUCAGGCUGAUCGUACUUCCAGCAUCAUCGGUAACCUCGGGAGAUUGUUUAGCGAUUGCUAAGGCGCAAUGUCGUGCACAUUUGUAGUUGGGUCGUCAAAGUUGACUCCACCAAAUCGAUAGUUAUAAUCUCAUCGAAACAUCGGGACACCCUCGCCCCUAUCAAGUGGUAUCAGUUUUCAGAUUGCUCGGUGAGAAUUUUCUGUUUUCCCUAGAUUAGAUUUAUUUUUUAGCUAUUGUCCAAGAAAAGCCCCAAAAAAGUUAGAUAUGUUUAUCCUUUGUCCAAGCCAAUCUAAGCCUUUGCAAUUUCUCUUUUCAUUGUUUGCAUUAAUGAAUUAUCGGUUGCAUUGUCGUGUCGAGUUGCUGGUCUUAGUGUCUAAUUCGUUUAGAGUUUCGAGUUCUGUUCAUAUUAGUCACGCAACCGCUGCAUCGUUAUUCCUUCCGCUGUCCACCACCCCACCCAUCAAUUUCCACUACAUGCUACCCAUCGUUCAUAAUCAUAGUUGAGGUCGUUCAAUCUUCGCUUGAUCCAAUCUGCAUCUUAUCCAGUUUGUCUUAGAAAGAGGGAGGGAAAAAAGAUAGAGAAAAAAAGAGAGAAAAAAGUAAAAGAAAAAAAGUGUGAAAAGGGAAGAAAGAAAAACAAAAUUCGGAUCUAUCUUUUAGGAAAGUUGGAGAAAGAGUUUUUGAUAUAUCCUGCUUGGCAGUUGUUUCUCAUCAUUAUAUUUACUGUCAUUGUGAUCUUCACUUAUAUCUUGCUGUCCAGAGCUACUUCAUAUCCUUUAUUGAUGCUAGCUGUGCUACGCCGUGACCUAAUUAGUGUUUUAGGCUCGCGUCUCUAGUCCGGUCUAGCCUAGGACCAUCACAGCAUCGUCGUUGAGCGUUUAUUCAACAUUGCAUCUCUGAAUUGAUUAUUUCAAAUCUUUUGCUGCCAAAUAUUUAAGCCUUCCAAGCUCCACAUAUUUCUACACCGUGUAUACGUACGUUCCCCUGGCAAUCGCUUUACUCAAUCUUCGGAGUUAUUUGACACCGCUGGUUGCCUGUCACCACCUGCUGCAUGGUAAGAACUUGUAAGAUAUUGAUAUUUGCUUUACUGUGAACGCUUUACCACCACAUCCUAGUAGUCCACAGGAACAUUAUUCUCGGAUUUUGUUUCUUGUUUCUACUAAUCAUGACAGGUUCCGGAGAUAAAAAUUCUUGGACGACGGAUACAUCUUCACCAUCACGAGAGGUGGGACAACACACACACACGCACAUGGUUAGGUUAUCUCUUUACCGCCAUUUAAGGGUAGAUUUAAUCCUGCUAUUUAUCUAGCUUGGGAGCUUGAAGUAGAUCAAGUUUUUAGUCACCAUGAUUUUUCUAAACUUGAGAGAGUACGAGCCGCCACUUGAGCAUUUAUUGGUUUUGCUUCUGUUUGGUGGAGUGUGCAUCAUAAGAGAAAUAUUGAUAACCAACCCACAAUUUAGAAAGAAUUGAAAGUUGUAAUGAGACAACAUUUUUUUCCUCCUUACUAUCGUCGUGAUUCCUUCGCAAAUUGAAACAAUUAAAACAAGGCAGUAACACUGUUCAUGCUUACUACCAAGAGUUCAAAUCUUAUAUGCAUAAUUGUGACAUAGAAGAAUCUGAGGAUGAUACAAUGAGUAGAUUUUUUGGUGGUUUGAACCAUGAUAUUCGCGCAAGAUUUCAGUAUAUUCCUCGUUGCAUUACUGGUAUGUAUGUUCGUGCUUAUACUUUUGAGAGACAAAUACAGGAGGAUGCAUUGGGUGACUACAACAACUACUAUUCUAGUUCAUGCUCACUAGCACCAGUCAGUUCCUCUACCGUUACACCUACUAGAGUAGCCACACCUCAGAUUAUGAGCGUGACAUCAUCUCAAGUGUAUGAUACAUUGUUACCAUCCGUACCUACAUCAAUUACUUCUUUGCGACAAGGUAACAGUAAAGAUAUUGAUGAUAGAACUUCA